rnacentral:rRNA from 1 species
AAGCAGCCGCGGUAAUUCCAGCUCCAAUAGCGUAUAUUAAAGUUGUUGCAGUUAAAAAGCUCGUAGUUGAAUUUCGGGGUUAGUAGGUUGGUCAUGCCUCUGGUAUGUACUGGUCUCACUGAUUCCUCCUUCCUGAUGAACCGUAAUGCCAUUAAUUUGGUGUUGCGGGGAAUUUGGACUGUUACUUUGAAAAAAUUAGAGUGUUUAAAGCAAGCUAACGCUUGAAUACAUUAGCAUGGAAUAAUGAAAUAGGACGUUUGAUUCUAUUUUGUUGGUUUCUAGGAUUGACGUAAUGAUUAAUAGGGAUAGUUGGGGGCAUUAGUAUUCAAUUGUCAGAGGUGAAUUUCUUGGAUUUAUUGAAGACUAACUACUGCGAAAGCAUUUGCCAAGGAUGUUUUCAUUAAUCAAGAACGAAAGUUAGGGGAUCGAAGACGAUCAGAUACCGUCGUAGUCUUAACCAUAAACUAUGCCGACUAGGGAUCGGAUGAUGCUAUUUUUAAUGACUCA